AACUCUCAACAACGGAUAUCUUGGCUCUCGCA
rnacentral:rRNA from 1 species